GGGUGAGUAACGCGUGGGCAACCUGCCCCGAAGUCUGGGAUAACACUGUGAAAGCGGUGCUAAUACCAGAUGAUGUCCAUGGGACGCAUGUUCCGUGGAAGAAAGCCGAAAGGCGCUUUGGGAUGGGCCCGCGUUCCAUUAGCUAGUUGGUGAGGUAAGGGCUCACCAAGGCGACGAUGGAUAGCCGGCCUGAGAGGGUGACCGGCCACACUGGGACUGAGACACGGCCCAGACUCCUACGGGAGGCAGCAGUAGGGAAUUUUGCGCAAUGGGGGAAAACCCUGACGCAGCGACGCCGCGUGAGCGAUGAAGGCUUUCGGGUCGUAAAGCUCUGUCCAUGGGGACGAUAAUGACGGUACCCGUGGAGGAAGCCCCGGCUAACUACGUGCCGGCAGCCGCGGUAAGACGUAGGGGGCGAGCGUUGUCCGGAAUUACUGGGCGUAAAGGGCGUGUAGGCGGCCUAGCAAGUCAGUUGUGAAAUCCCAGGGCUUAACCCUGGGCUAGCAACUGAAACUGUUAAGCUUGAGUGCAUCAGAGGAGAGCGGAAUUCCUAGUGUAGCGGUGACAUGCGUAGAUAUUAGGAGGAACACCCGUGGCGAAGGCGGCUCUCUGGGGUGCAACUGACGCUGAGGCGUGAAAGCUGGGGGAGCGAACGGGAUUAGAUACCCCGGUAGUCCCAGCCGUAAACGAUGGUCACUAGGUGUAGGAGGUAUCGACCCCUUCUGUGCCGCAGCAAACGCAUUAAGUGACCCGCCUGGGGUGUACGGUCGCAAGACUGAAACUCAAAGGAA
rnacentral:rRNA from 1 species